rnacentral:lncRNA from 1 species
UUGCUGUUGGCUUUUCCUCUUAUGUAAACUAGACAAUGCAUUCUUUUUUGUCUUGAACUUGUUUGAGAAUUCCACCAUAACCUAAAUUUGAUGCAUUAGUUUCAACAAUUUUGAAUGCAGAUGGAUGAGCUAGAUGUAAACAUGAAAUUUCAGAAACUUACUUUUUUAAUGCUUUGGACAAUCUUUGUAUGCUCAUCAGUCCAUGCAGGGGGAUUUAUCUUUA